UACGAAGGGUGCAAGCGUUACUCGGAAUUACUGGGCGUAAAGCGCGCGCAGGCGGUCCUUUAAGUCUGAUGUGAAAGCCCACGGCUCAACCGUGGAGGGUCAUUGGAAACUGGGGGACUUGAGUGCAGGAGAGAAGAGUGGAAUUCCACGUGUAGCGGUGAAAUGCGUAGAGAUGUGGAGGAACACCAGUGGCGAAGGCGACUCUUGGCGUGUAACUGACGCUUGAGCGCGAAAGCAUGGGGAGGCGAACAGG
rnacentral:rRNA from 1 species